AGUGGCACCACCAAGCUCCUUCCCCGGAAACUACACUGAGCAUCUCAGGAUCAAGCCACCAUAGCUUUGAACAGUGUGUAGUGAUGAUCUGACAUU